CGGCCCCGGCUGCGGGCGCCGGGCGGCGGGGCCGGGCCUGGGCGGGGCCGGACGUGAGCGCACUUCCGCGGGCCGCCAUGGCGGCAGAAAGCCCUGCUGAUGGCACUCCAAGACGACCUGUUUUAUCUGCCAGUGCAAGAAAACUUAGAGAUAAUGCAGCAGACUGGCAUAAUUUAAUGAUGAAAUGGGAGAGACUAAAUGAUAAUGGAUUUACUACAGCAAACAAAAUAGUCAACAUGAAGAUUAGUGAGCACUUUCAAGACAACCAACUGGAGAUAGCAUGUGAUAACAGUGCCACAGGAUCUGAAAAGCCAGCUCCAAAAUACAAUGAAGAACUGGACAAUCAUUGUGCAGAGCUACUUGAGACCUUAAAGCAUAUGACAAAAAUACAACUGAAAAUGGAAAAGCUUACUUCAACUACUAAAGCAAUCUGUGACUUGAAAACAUUCCACUAUGGAGCUGGGAAUUGCACAGCACCCUUCUUUCAUACAUGGCCUACAUCCUACUUCUAUGAGGUUUCUCUGAAGCUCUCUGAAAUGUACAAGAAGGAACUACAACUCAAGCAAACAAUUGUACAAGAAAUUGCUCAUUCUGCUGAUCAGGAUCUGAUGAUGGUCUAUUUAUCAUCAUGGUUAUACCAGCCAUACAUUGAGAACAGCAGCAAACUACUGCUGGAAGCCAUGCUGCUGGAAACAGGACAUAGACAGUGUUAGAAUUUCAAAUGUUACAUGACUUACUUAUAAUGAUGCUUCAGUGAAACUGAAAUGGCAAAUUGCAAGGCUUACCAAAGGAAAUGAACUCUCCAGGAAGGAGUCUUCAUAUUUACAGAUCCUCUUGAUCAUGGACUGCUGCUACCAGACACAGGAACAUUACUGCAGAAUCACAGCAGAGAUUUUUUGCCAUUGUAGGUCCAAGCAGUUGAUUGUUAUAUUUGAAGUCCUCGGUUGU